GGAUUUCGAUGAAAAUAAGCGAUAUUUUAGGGGAAAAACAGGGAUUUCUAUGAAAAUAAGCGAUAUUUCAGGGGAAAAACAGGGAUUUCUAUGAAAAUAAGCGAUAUUUAGUGGUUAAAAACAGGGAUUUCUAUGAAAAUAAGCGAUAUUUCAGGUUAAAAACAGGGAUUUCUAUGAAAAUAAGCGAUAUUUCAGGGGAAAAACAGGGAUUUCUAUGAAAAUAAGCGAUAUUUCAGGGGAAAAACAGGGAUUUCUAUGAAAAUAAGCGAUAUUUAAGGGGAAAAACAGGGAUUUCUAUGAAAAUAAGCGAUAUUUAAGGUUAAAAACAGGGAUUUCUAUGAAAAUAAGCGAUAUUUCAGGGGAAAAACAGGGAUUUCUAUGAAAAUAAGCGAUAUUUCAGGGGAAAAACAGGGAUUUCUAUGAAAAUAAGCGAUAUUUAAGGUUAAAAACAGGGAUUUCUAGGAAAAUAAGCGAUAUUUAAGGGGAAAAACAGGGAUUUCUAUGAAAAUAAGCGAUAUUUCAGGUUAAAAACAGGGAUUUCUAUGAAAAUAAGCGACAUUUCAGGGGAAAAACAGGGAUUUCUAUGAAAAUAAGCGACAUUUCAGGUGAAAAACAGGGAUUUCUAUGAAAAUAAGCGAUAUUUCAGGUUAAAAACAGGGAUUUCUAUGAAAAUAAGCGAUAUUUAAGGUUAAAAACAGGGAUUUCUAGGAAAAUAAGCGAAAUUUAAGGGGAAAAACAGGGAUUUCUAUGAAAAUAAGCGAUAUUUCAGGGGAAAAACAGGGAUUUCUAGGAAAAUAAGCGAUAUUUAAGGGGAAAAACAGGGAUUUCUAGGAAAAUAAGUGAUAUUUCAGGUUAAAAACAGGGAUUUCUAUGAAAAUAAGCGAUAUUUAAGGAUUAAAAACAGGGAUUUCUAUGAAAAUAAGCGAUAUUUCAGGGGAAAAACAGGGAUUUCUAUGAAAAUAAGCGAUAUUUAAGGGGAAAAACAGGGAUUUCUAUGAAAAUAAGCGAUAUUUCAGGUUAAAAACAGGGAUUUCUAUGAAAAUAAGCGAUAUUUAAGGGGAAAAACAGGGAUUUCUAUGAAAAUAAGCGAUAUUUCAGGUUAAAAACAGGGAUUUCUAUGAAAAUAAGCGAUAUUUAAGGGGAAAAACAGGGAUUUCUAUGAAAAUAAGCGAUAUUUCAGGGGAAAAACAGGGAUUUCUAUGAAAAUAAGCGAUAUUUAAGGUUAAAAACAGGGAUUUCUAUGAAAAUAAGCGAUAUUUCAGAUUAAAAACAGGGAUUUCUAUGAAAAUAAGCGAUAUUUCAGGGGAAAAACAGGGAUUUCUAUGAAAAUAAGCGAUAUUUCAGGGGAAAAACAGGGAUUUCUAUGAAAAUAAGCGAUAUUUAAGGGGAAAAACAGGGAUUUCUAUGAAAAUAAGCGAUAUUUCAGGUUAAAAACAGGGAUUUCUAUGAAAAUAAGUGAUAUUUAAGGGGAAAAACAGGGAUUUCUAUGAAAAUAAGCGAUAUUUAAGGAUUAAAAACAGGGAUUUCUAUGAAAAUAAGUGAUAUUUCAGGGGAAAAACAGGGAUUUCUAUGAAAAUAAGCGAUAUUUUAGGGGAAAAACAGGGUUUUCUAGGAAAAUAAGCAAUAUUUAAUGGUUAAAAACAGGGAUUUCUAGGAAAAUAAGCGAUAUUUUAGGGUUAAAAACAGGGAUUUCUAUGAAAAUAAGCGACAUUUCAGGGGAAAAACAGGGAUUUCUAUGAAAAUAAGCGACAUUUCAGGUUAAAAACUGGGAUUUCUAUGAAAAUAAGCGAUAUUUUAGGGUUAAAAACAGGGAUUUCUAUGAAAAUAAGCGAUAUUUUCGGGGAAAAACAGGGAUUUCUAUGAAAAUAAGCGAUAUUUCAGGUUAAAAACAGGGAUUUCUAUGAAAAUAAGCGAUAUUUCAGGUUAAAAACAGGGAUUUCUAUGAAAAUAAGCGAUACUUAAGGUUAAAAACAGGGAUUUCUAUGAAAAUAAGCGAUAUUUCAGGGGAAAAACAGGGAUUUCUAUGAAAAUAAGCGAUAUUUCAGGGGAAAAACAGGGAUUUCGAUGAAAAUAAGCGAUAUUUCAGGUUAAAAACAGGGAUUUCUAUGAAAAUAAGCGAUAUUUUAGGGGAAAAACAGGGAUUUCUAGGAAAAUAAGCGAUAUUUCAGGUGAGAAACAGGAAUUUCUAU